GGAGGACUGAAAGCAUUACUGACUGUUGUGUGAAUAGAACUGCAAUCAAUAUCUGGUUAAUAUUUGCCAUAUGUGAUGUGGAAUAUGCUUUUGUGAUAGCUGAAAACUAACAAGACUGUUUACAGAGCAGAGAGGGUUAAGUGAGCCACCCUUUCUCCCUUUUUUUCCCAGCUAAGAGAACUGUGUUUACGCUCCCUGACAUCAAGACUGGCUGUGACCUCAGCUGUCAGAGAUUAGUUGAGUUUUUAUUUGCUCUUGAUGGGUGAAUGCAGACAGAGACAAACCGUCCAGUCUCAAGUGGACAGAAAAUAGAGACAUGGGUUCUCUACUAUAGCAGUUAUGUGUCACUGUCCCACAUAGCAGGUAAUGAAGGGCGAGAUAAUGAGGGGAGUAAUUUCGCUCCUGACUUUUAAGGUGUCAGGUUGCUUUGUACAAGACAGGUAUGUAAGCACUCCAAAAUCCCUCUGAGAUAUUUGUCAUCAAAAUACUUUGUGAAGCAUGAAGAUGGCCGUAAGUGUUUGACCGAGGAACAGUUUGAAGGGACAGGUCUGGCAAACUUGGGGAAAAUGCUGGGCCCAUGCACCAGAACACAUGAUUACCUAACAAGGGUCUGAGAGAGGCCAGGGCUGCUCACAGGUAUCCUCCAACAUGGUUAAUUGGCUGCUUGAUAUAUACAUACUGAAUAUGGGCAACAGCAGCUAUGGGUCUGGUGAUAUGUCAUGUGAACUCUCUGAUAUGAGUUCUUUGAAGUAGGGAAAUCAGACCAGUGGUUUCAGAAGACCCUUGUGAAUGAAAAAUAAUAAAAUCAGUGUUCACACUGAAGUGCUGCACAUCUGUCUGGGAACACUGGUGACCACCUAGUGCUGGCUGCAAGGCAUCUUGGGCAAGUGGUCUGACCCAGUGUCGUUCCCAGUGUCCUCAACGUUUUUAUCACAUCAUGAUUUCUUCCUCUGUUCUCCAAGUGUAGCUUAAAGGCUGGUCUUACACCAGUAGGUCUCUCUUCCGCAGUGAUAAGAUAUAAAGGACUAAAUCAUGGGGCAUGAGUAACAACAUUUUUAUUUCUAAUGGAAGAGUAAGUGACAAAUUUUAGAGAAAUGUUGUAAGAGGAGAUAUUUCAGUACUUGUGAAAUUAUGGAGUUUUAUGCAAAUAAAUUAGCAGAGAAGGCGGAUUUCGUUUUGUAUAACACUGAUAGACUUCAAAAGAAUUUUUCAGAAUCUCAUGACUUUUCAGUGCUCCUUUCUCUGUAACUGGGACAGAAGAGUAAUUCAAUCAGAAGAUUAUGUCUGUUGGUUUAAUAUGCAGACUAUGGUUGCAGAAAAGCGUUUAUGUCCUUACGCACUGGACAUCUGGAAACAUUCCCCUGCCACAUUUUAUUAGAACAUUGAAAUCACCUCAUUAAAUGAUAUGGAGAGGUUCCGAAAGCAGGGUAAUUGUUGGGAGAUCAAUCACAGAUUAAGCUUCCCAUGCCAUUUUAAUAUGUUCUCAUUCAUUGCCACAGACACUCAAUCUGACCAUUGAUUUUCAUCAAAGACUUCCAGGUUUUCUGAGCCUUCUCCUGGUGAAAUGACCUCCUGCAGCACUUUCUUUCUUGAACAAACAACCUGAUAAGCAAUGAAGCACAUAUGCCAAAUUGCUAUUUUAAUAUUGUUUUUUCUCUUGAAGUCUAAAUAGUAGAACUGGGUCUGGAUAGAAAAAUCUCAGUCGUUUAUUCACACCUAUCCUCUCCAGUCCCUGCUGUUGUGAUGAAUCUUCCUGAAUGGUCCAGGCUCUCAUCAGUGGUGUAGUUCCACAACUGAGAGGAAACCAGCUGUUGACCAAGGCAUUAGUGGGAAGGAUGAAGCUGUUAGUUCAAUGGGGAAUAUUUCAAUGCUGGAAGAUUCUGAGCAGGGUUGCAGACAAAAGAUUUCUGAGAAAGAAUUACAAAAUAGGAAUCUUGCUUGGUUUACCACAAAGGUGAUGGGACAGAGUGGGCAAAACUGAAGAAAAACACAUUAUCUUUGAUGAGAGGAAAAUAUUCCCAACGUGUCCCCUGUAUCAUAUGCCCAGUAUUUAUAUGCUGGACUUCACAGUAUGUGGCAAAGGUUUUUGCUUCAAAACUAUGAAUUUGAUGAACCUAUAUAUGUCCUCUUUUCUUGUGAACCAGGAUACUAGCAAGAACUAUUCAUCAAUUUAAUUUUCAUUCACAUUUCAACCCCUGUUUCUGUCCCAGUCCAAUACAAUGGUGUCUGGUUUUAUCCCUCCCUGUUACAACUGUAAAUAGAAAGCAGACAGGAAGUCAAGGCCAUUGACAAAAAGCAGGAGGAGGAGAAGAAAAAGCCCUAAGAAAAUGACAGACAUACACAGCACGCUCUGACCUCACCAUAACGAGGACGCUUGUAAAGACUUGCGUCCGUGGAUCAUUUCCGCCUGCCAUAUGGGGUGUUUGUUCUACACAGUAAACAAGGAUCACAGUGUUUGAGUUUUAGUCAAAUAGACUUUGGAUACAUUUUCAUAACUGAACUGGGAUGGCUUUAGUACUGUGCAGUAGCUCUCAGUGCUUUUCAUUUCUCUUAGUCAUGGCUUUUUAAAGGUUGUGUGACUAUUGACAACUGUGGGAGGUAGUCUCAUGUCACUUUUUCCUUGCCUAUCUGGUCACUCAAAAGAGAGAGCUUUUUUUUCACAGAAAACUCUCUUCCAAAUCCUGCUGGCAGCUGUGGAUUUUCUGUCUCUCAGUGUGAAUAAUUUUUUCUGCCUGUAUCUGUUCUGUUAGCUAUGAUUUUAGCACCACUCUGAGAUUCCUGGACAUCGGUUCUGCUCAUGUUGGCCUGCUUUGGGUACAAAGAGACUGGCUUACCAGGCAUGGAAACCCAGAUGGAUGGCAGGAAACCAGUAUAAACACAGUCCCUGCCCUUUUGGACAAGUUGGGUGUAACUGUGUUGGCUGUCUUGACUCCAACACAGAGCAAGAGUAAAUCUGCACUUAGCAAUUUGUAAAGAAAGCAGGAGGGAAACCAACUUUUCCCAUGAACUUACAGUGAUAGGAUGAGGGGAAGUGGCUUUAAACUAAAAGAGGGGAAGUUUAGGUUAGAUGUUAGGAAGAAAUUCUGUAUCAGAGAUUGGUGAGGCACUGGCACAGCUGCCCAGAGAAGUUGUAGUGCCCCAUCCCUGGAGGCGUUCAAGGCCAGGUUGGAUGGGGCCCUGGGCAGCUGAGCUGCUGGGGGGCAGCUCUGCCCAUGGCAUGGGGUUGGAAUGGGUAGGCUUUGAGGUCCCUUCCAACCUAAACCAUUGCAUGAUUCUAUGGUCUCUGUUAUUUAACCUUCAUGCAAGAGCCCCAGACAUCCGUGGGCUGUCAAGCAGUGGCUUCUUCUGGAAAUGAAAGACUAGCUCAUACUUGUCCAGUGUGAUCUAGGACCCUCCACACAAUUUAGGUAGAGACCUCUUCACUCAACAAAUGGGACUCUUGCUUCUGACAAGUUUGCAUUUGGUCCCUUCUAAUACUGUUAUUGACUGCCCUUUGAUGUUACUCACAAUAUUUGGAAAGUCAACGUUUGUGUUCCUGCUCCUUUGCUCUUUUUGAAACUGAAAAAUACUUCACUACUCUUGUGUAUGGGAACUGUUGAGUCACGGCCUGAACCACUGAUUGAUCACCUGAAGCAAGGACUGGGUCAGCCAUGGGAGCACAGGUGAAGGCAAUUCAGCCGUGUGACCAGAAGGGGUGGAGCCUGGCCGCACCUCUCCUACACCCCAUUUAAGGGCUGACUGCCACUAGGGAAGGAUCUUUUUCUGGAGAUCCCUCCCUUUUGGAGUUUUCCAUUGUGAGCCUGGAUCCUCAGUUCAGCUGCGACUUUUAUGUGGUGUAAGAAGGAGAACAGAUUUGGAUAUCAAGAGCUGUACCUACAGCAGUGGCGACUAACCUUACUGUGGAAAGAGUAGGACUCCGGAGAGGACAAAAAAAGCUGGAAGGAGGAGGCAUGGAGCAGAAAAUGCUACACUCUGUGAAAUUGCAUCCUGGUAGCACAGAGCCAGUGAUCACCACUCUCUGGCAUAGACUACCAGGAUUCACAGGUGGUGGUAACCCCAUGGCAGAGCCAGAGCUCUUCCUCUCUCCUCCACUUUGCUGCCACAUGAGCUAUGCUUAUCCAUGCCCGUCUGGAGAUGCUAUUCAACAGCCGGCUGAACAUGACCCAGCAGUGUGUCCAGGUGGCCAAGAAGGCCAAUGGCAUCCUGGUUUGUGUCAGAAACAGUGCAGUCAGCAGGAGCAGAGAGGUGAUCAUCCCUCAACACUGGUGAGGCUGCACCUUGAACUACGGCAUUCCCUUUUGGAACCCUCACUACAAGAAAGAAGUAGAGGCCUGUGGAGGAGGGGGAUCUGGCAUGACAACGUUCAUUGUCUCCAUGCAUUAACUGACUUCUCUUCAACAUUACUCUUUCUAGUGGGAGCAAGAGACAAUAAUAUUACAUUAUUGCUGAUAGUAAGGUCUGUGUUGGGAUAUAUGCUUUGUUGACAGGAGCUGAAAUCUUUGAGGUAUUUUCCAUUGGGAGCCCAUUCUCAUCCCUCCUGGUUUGUAUUUUAUAUGCAGCUUUGUUGCCUUGGUCUCUUGGCCAGCUGGUUGAUGUGCAAAGGGGAUUCCUAGAGGAGCACUGUGAGGCUAGCUAAGGCCCUGAGGGGCCCUUACCAUGUCCCUGAGCAUGCACUUGACGCUGGCAUGCUGAGUGAUUUAGGAUCAGGCACUUGCCAUCUUUGCCCCCGUUUUCCUUGCUGUGAAAUGCUGCUGGUGGCACUUAUUUCACAAACUGUGUGAAGCUGUGUGUCUGCCAAGCUCUCUAUGAGGCAGCAGCUGACAUUAAUUAGCUGUGUUGUAAGGCCUAUUACUGAGAAAGGAGAAGGUUGCUCUGUCACUGUGACACAGAGAAUAUUACAUUUUUUCCAUCCAUCUUGAACAGACAGUUUUGUAGGGGAAGACUGAGAAUCAAUUUUGUACUGUGCCCUUCUGUGUUCAGAUACAGAAACCAAGUGUAAAUAUGGGAGUAAUUGACUUUUAUCAUCUGAGUUAAGAAAAGAUUAAAAUACCAUUUGUAUUCUUUGCUCUGGCUCCAUUAACUGACAUUUUACUUCUCUUACUUAAUGGACACAUAAUACACAAAGAACUAAAAAUAGACUAAUAAUUCUCUAUUUUCUUAGUGCUCACACUCUUUCCCCAAUAUUACUUAGUGUUCUCCAAAUAUCUGUGAGUUUCUGUGAGUUAUACAGUAGGGAACAACUUCUGAUUCAGUUGAAGUCAAAUAUACAUUUCCUGUAGACUUUAACAGGUACAGAAGACACCUUAAUGCUUCACCAAUGCUUUUAAAAGAUGAGGAUGCUUCAUUCCUUGGAUGAGAUGUUUGGGGCUCUUCUGACUAUACGUUGAUUCAUUAAAAACUCAGUUUCUGUAAAUGGGAAAUGAGAAAAACAUCCUUGACUCCUCC
rnacentral:lncRNA from 1 species